rnacentral:other from 1 species
CGCUUCCUGGUCUAUUCGAUAGCUGGUGGGACCCUCGAGCCGAUAUUGAAUAAUUAGGAGAUUUUGGAAAGUCUUGUUGAGCACACCUUUCUUAGGGAGCCUGAUAGGCCGACGAAAUCACCGCCCUGAAUCUCACGGUUCAGGGCCGCAUCGGCAACGGUAUUCUGGGAAGCAC